rnacentral:lncRNA from 1 species
CUGUCAUUUCCUCAAUAUACUAUCAUCACAGGCCAGUCAUGAUUCAGUGUUGGAUACACAAGGGUGUGAAUGCCAGAAUGAGAAUCACUGGGGACCAUUUUGGGAGCUGGCUAAACACAUUUUUUACCUACCACAGAAACAGUCCUUUCUAUAAUCUAUAGUACUUUUAUUGUAACAUUUAUGAAGCACAAUUGUUUUAAAUAGAUGAAUUAGAUUUCCAAGAACAAUAGCAUUAGAACAUAUAUUUAUACACUGCCCCUUCUCUAAGCCUAUCAAAAAGAGUAUCUACCAUGAAUCUAGAGAAAUGGACACACAUAUAUUGGUGUACAUACAUGUACACAUUUUUACACCACAAACUCUAGAGUAUCAGACAGUUAUUACAAUUAGUUCUAAUUUGAAUUAACUAGAGGGAACAAGAUUGGACAUGUAACUCCUCCAUUUGGUAUUAUGGUGCAGAGAGAAGAGAUGAAAGUUUUGGUAGGCAAGACUAAGUGCCUAAAAUCCCCAGGUUGGAACCAUGACAGGAAUCAUGAGCAGUCAGAGGAGAAAAUUGGGACCAUGCUACAAGAGGCCCAUUCUUUUCCAGAACAGCCUCAACAGAAGCAAACUAUAGGCAGUGCUGCCUAGAGGAAGCUAAAGGGCAAAAGUGAACCAAAAGAUAUGGGAAACUUCAGACUUUGCAAUUGUGAGUCGGUUCACCUAACAGCAAAAUUAAACUCUCUGGAGCUGAAUGUCUCUCACCUGAUCAAUGCCAGAGAGAUUAGCUUUCCCUAAAAACACACUAUCCCCACCCACUAGCCACUACAAUAAGGCAAGAAAUAAAAAAGCAUCCAGAAUUUGAAAGGAAGAAGUAAAACUGUUAUUUGCAAACACGAUUCUCAAUGUUAGAAAAUCCUAUGGAAUCUAUAAAACGUUACUAGAACCAAUAAGUGAGUUGUGCAAGGUUGAAGGAUAUGCGGUUAAUAUAUAAAAACCAAUUAUAUUUCUAUAUGUCAGCAAAAACUGGAAAUUUACUGUUUAUUAUUACAAGUAUCAUAAGUUAUUAAGUAUUUAUACAUGAAAAAGAUGAAAUUUUUAGAUGCAUCUGAGGAAAAGUGUGAAAGAUCUGCACAGUAAAAAUUACAAAACAUUGCUGAAGGAAAUUAAUAAAUAUCUAAAUAAAUGGGGAGCUCUACCAUGUCCAUGGGUCAAAAGACUCUGUAUAUUUGUCAAUUCUCCAUAAAUUGGUCAUUAUAUUCAAUGCAAUCCCAAUCAAACUCCCAGGAGGUGUUUUGUAGAAAGUGAAAAACUGAUUCUAAAAUUCAUAUGGAAAUGCAAAGGACCUCUAAUGGCCAAAACACCUCGACAAAGAACAAAGUUAGAGAACUAACACUAUAUGACUUCAACACUUAUUAGAUUUCAACACUUAUUAGAUAACUAUAAUAAUAAAGGCAGUGCCUUAAUGGCAUCAAGACAGACAAACAGAUCAAUGGAACAGUAUCUAGAAAUAGACCCACACAUAUAUGGACUUCUGCUUCACAACAAUGGUACAAAGGCAAUUCAGUGGGGGAACUUUUUUCAAAAAAUGGUGUUACAGGCCAGGCAAUAGUGGCACAGACUUGUAGUCCCAGCUACUCAGGAGGCUGAGGCAGGAGGAUCACUUGAGACCAGGAAUUCAAGGGUACAGUACACUGUAAUGAUGCCUGUGAAUAGCACUGCACUUCAGCUUGUGCAACAUAGUGAGACCCAUCUCUUAAAAAAGAAAAAAAUGGUGCUACAAUAGGAUACUUAUAUGAAGAAAAAGAAAAAAACUUGGAUCCAUGCCUCAGACAAAAAUUAACUCAAUAGAUGAUAGAAUUAAAUGUAAAACCUAAAACUAUAAAACUUCUGGCCAGGUGCGAUGGCUCACACCUGUAAUCCCAGCACUUUGGGAGGCCGAGGUGGGCAGAUCACUUAAGGUCAGGAUUUCG